rnacentral:rRNA from 1 species
CCUACGGGAGGCAGCAGUGAGGAAUAUUGGUCAAUGGGCGCGAGCCUGAACCAGCCAAGUAGCGUGAAGGAUGACUGCCCUAUGGGUUGUACACCUCUUUUAUAAAGGAAUAAAGAGAGGCACGUGUGCGGUGUUGUAUGUACUGUAUGAAUAAGGAUCGGCUAACUCCGUGCCAGCAGCCGCGGUAAUACGGAGGAUCCGAGCGUUAUCCGGAUUUAUUGGGUUUCAAGGGAGCGUAGACGGGUUUGUAAGUACGUUGUGAAAUUGUGCGGCUCAACCGUAAAAUUGCAAUUAAUACUGGCAGCCGUGAGUACAGUUGAGGUAGGCGGAAUACGUGAUGUAGCGGUGAAAUGCUUAGAUAUGACGAAGAACUCCGAUUGCGAAGGCAGCUUACUAAGCUGCCACUGACAUUGAUGUUCGAGAGUGUGGGUAUCAAACAGGAUUAGAUACCCCUGUAGUC